rnacentral:rRNA from 1 species
UACGUAGGUUGCGAGCGUUAAUCGGAAUUACUGGGCGUAAAGCGUGCGUAGACGGUUAUGGAAGUCGGGUGUGAAAGCCCCGGGCUCAACCUGGGAAUGCCAUUCGAGACUGCAUAGCUAGGGUGCGGAAGAGGGAAGCGGAAUUUCCGGUGUAGCGGUGAAAUGCGUAGAUAUCGGAAGGAACACCAGUGGCGAAAGCGGCUUCCUGGUCCAGCACCGACGUUCAGGCACGAAAGCGUGGGGAGCAAACAGG